AAUCAACGCUGGCGGCGUGCCUCAGACAUGCAAGUCGAACGAUUAAAGCUCUCUUCGGAGAGUGUAUAGAGUGGCGCACGGGUGAGUAACACGUAAGUAAUCUACCCUCGAGUGGGGAAUAACAACCGGAAACGGUUGCUAAUACCGCAUAAUGCAGCGGCACCGCAAGGUGACAGUUGUUAAAGAUUUAUCGCUUGAGGAGGAGCUUGCGGCGGAUUAGCUAGUUGGUAGGGUAACGGCUUACCAAGGCUACGAUCUGUAACCGGUCUAAGAGGACGGUCGGUCACACUGACACUGAAUAACGGGUCAGACUCCUACGGGAGGCAGCAGUCGGGAAUUUUGGGCAAUGGGCGAAAGCCUGACCCAGCAACGCCGCGUGAAGGAUGAAGUAUUUCGGUAUGUAAACUUCGAAAGAAUAGGAAGAAUUAAUGACGGUACUAUUUAUAAGGUCCGGCUAACUACGUGCCAGCAGCCGCGGUAAAGUACAGUGU
rnacentral:rRNA from 1 species